rnacentral:pre_miRNA from 1 species
AUUACCCAGGGAUCUUGUUGAAAUGCAGGUUCUGAUUCUGGAGGUCUAAGGUGGGUCCUGGAUUCUGCAUUUCUAACAAGUUCCCAUGGAUGCCAG